UGUUAAAUGUAAGCAUGCAGAUUGUUUCGCAUCAAUAAAGAAGAGCCAUUUUAUCACUUCAGAACGACUUUAGUAUUAGGUUCAAAAUUUAAAUGUUACAGAUAAAUAACAAAUAAAUAAUUUUUUUCGAUGAAAGAAAAAUAACAAUAAUGAGACGAUACAUCGAAAUUUUACAAAUUCAACGUUGAUGCCAUUGGAUGAUCAAUAUUUUCCAUUAAUCCCAUUGCUAGGAACAUAACCUACAAAACAAUUGACUUGAAUAAAACUCUACGAUGGAAAUUCGGUAUUUUCAUUAUGCCAUUAGUUCUGGGACGUUAUUAUAAAUGAUCAGUACAACAACAAAUAAGAAUAAAUCAAUUGAUGAUGGCUUAAUUACUAUCUUUAAAUGAUUGAUGAAUAAUUGAAGAAGAAAUAUCAAGGUUCAGUCAUAUAUACAAUUAUUUUAACAAAGUAAAAUUGAAAAAAGAAGAAGAAGAAAAGAAAAGAAGUUAGUAAUUGGAAAGAAAGGAUUGUAUAAUCUUUUUAAUUAUUACAUAUUCAUUUCAACAACGUUAAUAUAGACUUAAUAUAGAAGCAAAAUAUAAUUGAUAUUUAAAUGAAUAAUUCUAUAAGUUGUGCUUAAAUAUUAUAAUGUUAUUAACUCUGAUCCAUUUAAUAUGAAAUAAUUUAUUUAAUUUUAUUUUAUAUGUAAGUGCUGUUGUUUAAAUGAAAAUUUCCAAGUUUUCAACGUCGUUGCAAAUAUUAUGAGAUAAAACAAGAAAGUCAAUGAAUAUUGAAA